CGAUCACAUCAAGACGCUUAGAUUCCCUUCAAGACUCGCUCGCACGGUAUAGACGGCAAACGCUUAAGGAUUUUUGGUUAUCGUUGAGGACUCUACCACACAGGAUACCCGGCAACCACUUCAGGACGCAUAUAGUUCCUUCAGGACUCUACCAUAUAGAACUAAGUCACGGCGGGGAGACCUUCAUACCUUGCGACCAUUGACAUCUGUACUUCUGGAGGAGGCUAAACACUACUAGAGGCGUGAGGGAGUUGAGAUCCUGCGGCCAUUGGAAACCGUACUCUUGAAUGAGGCUUAACGCUUUAGACCCAAGGACCGUAUCUUGUGACCACUGGAAACUCUAAUCUUGAAUGAGGCUUAACACUUAGGGAUGUGGGUCUUUACGCAUUGGUAUUUACUUUCUAUCGUUAAAGCCUUGUACGGAGACUUCAUGACGGUUUGCUAUCUUUAUAUUCUAGGUGUUUGUAUUUACGCGUUCAUGUUCGGUCAUUACGUUACAAUAGGAGUCUGAUUUGCUAACGGUUUGUUCCCCGCAGACCCAAGGACCUUAUCUUGUGACUUU